rnacentral:rRNA from 1 species
UACGGAAGGCAGCAGGGGGAAUAUUGCACAAUGGGCGAAAGCCUGAUGCAGCUAUGCCGCGUGUAUGAAGAAGGCCUUAGGGUUGUAAAGUACUUUCAUCGGGGAGGAAAAACAAAACUAAUAAUUUUAUUUCUUGACGUUACCCGAAAAAGAAGCACCGGCUAACUCCGUGCCAGCAGCCGCGGUAAUACGGAGGGUGCUAGCGUUAAUCAGAAUUACUGGGCGUAAAGAGCACGUAGGUGGUUUUUUUAAAGUCAGAUGUGAAAUCCCUGGGCUUAACCUGGAACUGCAUUUUGAAACUGAAAUACUAGAGUAUCGUAGAGGGAGGUAGAAUUCUAGGUGUAGCGGUGAAAUGCGUAGAUAUCUGGAGGAAUACCUGUGGCGAAAGCGGCCUCCUAAACGAAUACUGACACUGAGGGUGCGAAAGCGUGGGGAGCAAACAGGGAUUAGAUACC